ACGUACACUCCUGCGGGAGGCAGCAGUGGGGAAUUUUGGACAAUGGGGGCAACCCUGAUCCAGCAAUGCCGCGUGAGUGAAGAAGGCCUUCGGGUUGUAAAGCUCUUUUGUCAGGGAAGAAACGGUAGUAGCGAAUAACUAUUACUAAUGACGGUACCUGAAGAAUAAGCACCGGCUAACUACGUGCCAGCAGCCGCGGUAAUACGUAGGGUGCAAGCGUUAAUCGGAAUUACUGGGCGUAAAGCGUGCGCAGGCGGUUGUGUAAGUCAGAUGUGAACUCCCCGGGCUCAACCUGGGAAUUGCAUUUGAGACUGCACGGCUAGAGUGUGUCAGAGGGGGGUAGAAUUCCACGUGUAGCAGUGAAAUGCGUAGAUAUGUGGAGGAAUACCGAUGGCGAAGGCAGCCCCCUGGGAUAACACUGACGCUCAUGCACGAAAGCGUGGGGAGCAAACAGGAUUAGAAACCCUAGUAGUCCC
rnacentral:rRNA from 1 species